UACGUAGGGUGCGAGCGUUGUCCGGAAUUAUUGGGCGUAAAGAGCUCGUAGGCGGUUUGUUGCGUCGGCCGUGAAAACCUGCAGCUUAACUGUGGGCCUGCGGCCGAUACGGGCAGACUUGAGUUCGGUAGGGGAGACUGGAAUUCCUGGUGUAGCGGUGAAAUGCGCAGAUAUCAGGAGGAACACCGGUGGCGAAGGCGGGUCGCUGGGCCGGCAUUGACGCUGAGGUGCGAAAGCGUGGGGAGCAAACAGG
rnacentral:rRNA from 1 species